UACGUAGGGGGCAAGCGUUGUCCGGAAUUAUUGGGCGUAAAGCGCGUGUAGGCGGCCAGAAAAGUCCGCUGUGAAAACUCGAGGCUCAACUUCGAGCUGUCGGUGGAAACUUUCUGGCUAGAGUCCGGAAGAGGAGAAUGGAAUUCCUGGUGUAGCGGUGAAAUGCGCAGAUAUCAGGAAGAACACCCGUGGCGGAGGCGGUUCUCUGGGACGGUACUGACGCUGAGACGCGAAAGCGUGGGGAGCGAACAGG
rnacentral:rRNA from 1 species